UUGCUAUUUCUUUCGUCUCAAAAAGCUAGUUUUACAUUUGUCUAGAUACGGAUGGAUGUAUUUAGACAUGUUUUAGUGCUAGAUUCAUUCGUAUCUAAAUAAAUAUAAGACACAUUUUUUGGGACGAAGGUAAUAUUAA
rfam:Triticum aestivum genome assembly, contig: Triticum_aestivum_CS42_TGACv1_scaffold_146380_2BS